rnacentral:rRNA from 1 species
GGUUAAGCGACUAAGCGUACACGGUGGAUGCCCUGGCAGUCAGAGGCGAUGAAGGACGUGCUAAUCUGCGAAAAGCGUCGGUAAGGUGAUAUGAACCGUUAUAACCGGCGAUGUCCGAAUGGGGAAACCCAGUGCAAUUCGUUGCACUAUCGUUAACUGAAUACAUAGGUUAACGAGGCGAACCGGGGAACUGAAACAUCUAAGUACCCCGAGGAAAAGAAAUCAACCGAGAUUCCCCCAGUAGCGGCGAGCGAACGGGGAGCAGCCCAGAGUCUGAAUCAGCUUGUGUGUUAGUGGAACGGUCUGGAAAGUCCGACGGUACAGGGUGAUAGUCCCGUACACCAAAAUGCACAGGCUGUGAACUCGAAGAGUAGGGCGGGACACGUGGUAUCCUGUCUGAAUAUGGGGGGACCAUCCUCCAAGGCUAAAUACUCCUGACUGACCGAUAGUGAACCAGUACCGUGAGGGAAAGGCGAAAAGAACCCCGGCGAGGGGAGUGAAAAAGAACCUGAAACCGUGUACGUACAAGCAGUGGGAGCACCUUCGGGUGUGACUGCGUACCUUUUGUAUAAUGGGUCAGCGACUUAUAUUCUGUAGCAAGGUUAACCGUAUAGGGGAGCCGCAGGGAAACCGAGUCUUAACUGGGCGUUAAGUUGCAGGGUAUAGACCCGAAACCCGGUGAUCUAGCCAUGGGCAGGUUGAAGGUUGGGUAACACUAACUGGAGGACCGAACCGACUAAUGUUGAAAAAUUAGCGGAUGACUUGUGGCUGGGGGUGAAAGGCCAAUCAAACCGGGAGAUAGCUGGUUCUCCCCGAAAGCUAUUUAGGUAGCGCCUCGUGAAUUCAUCUUCGGGGGUAGAGCACUGUUUCGGCUAGGGGGUCAUCCCGACUUACCAACCCGAUGCAAACUACGAAUACCGAAGAAUGUUAUCACGGGAGACACACGGCGGGUGCUAACGUCCGUCGUGAAGAGGGAAACAACCCAGACCGCCAGCUAAGGUCCCAAAGUCAUGGUUAAGUGGGAAACGAUGUGGGAAGGCACAGACAGCCAGGAUGUUGGCUUAGAAGCAGCCAUCAUUUAAAGAAAGCGUAAUAGCUCACUGGUCGAGUCGGCCUGCGCGGAAGAUGUAACGGGGCUAAACCAUGCACCGAAGCUGCGGCAGCGACACUAUGUGUUGUUGGGUAGGGGAGCGUUCUGUAAGCCUGCGAAGGUGUGCUGUGAGGCAUGCUGGAGGUAUCAGAAGUGCGAAUGCUGACAUAAGUAACGAUAAAGCGGGUGAAAAGCCCGCUCGCCGGAAGACCAAGGGUUCCUGUCCAACGUUAAUCGGGGCAGGGUGAGUCGACCCCUAAGGCGAGGCCGAAAGGCGUAGUCGAUGGGAAACAGGUUAAUAUUCCUGUACUUGGUGUUACUGCGAAGGGGGACGGAGAAGGCUAUGUUAGCCGGGCGACGGUUGUCCCGGUUUAAGCAUGUAGGCUGGUUGUCCAGGCAAAUCCGGAUAAUCAAGGCUGAGGUGUGAUGACGAGGCACUACGGUGCUGAAGUAACAAAUGCCCUGCUUCCAGGAAAAGCCUCUAAGCAUCAGGUAACAUCAAAUCGUACCCCAAACCGACACAGGUGGUCAGGUAGAGAAUACCAAGGCGCUUGAGAGAACUCGGGUGAAGGAACUAGGCAAAAUGGUGCCGUAACUUCGGGAGAAGGCACGCUGGUGUGUAGGUGAAGCCCCUGCGGGUGGAGCUGAGACCAGUCGAAGAUACCAGCUGGCUGCAACUGUUUAUUAAAAACACAGCACUGUGCAAACACGAAAGUGGACGUAUACGGUGUGACGCCUGCCCGGUGCCGGAAGGUUAAUUGAUGGGGUUAUCCGUAAGGAGAAGCUCUUGAUCGAAGCCCCGGUAAACGGCGGCCGUAACUAUAACGGUCCUAAGGUAGCGAAAUUCCUUGUCGGGUAAGUUCCGACCUGCACGAAUGGCGUAAUGAUGGCCAGGCUGUCUCCACCCGAGACUCAGUGAAAUUGAACUCGCUGUGAAGAUGCAGUGUACCCGCGGCAAGACGGAAAGACCCCGUGAACCUUUACUAUAGCUUGACACUGAACAUUGAGCCUUGAUGUGUAGGAUAGGUGGGAGGCUUUGAAGCGUGGACGCCAGUCUGCGUGGAGCCAACCUUGAAAUACCACCCUUUAAUGUUUGAUGUUCUAACGUUGGCCCCUGACCGGGGUUGCGGACAGUGUCUGGUGGGUAGUUUGACUGGGGCGGUCUCCUCCCAAAGCGUAACGGAGGAGCACGAAGGUUAGCUAAUCCUGGUCGGACAUCAGGAGGUUAGUGCAAUGGCAUAAGCUAGCUUGACUGCGAGCGUGACGGCGCGAGCAGGUGCGAAAGCAGGUCAUAGUGAUCCGGUGGUUCUGAAUGGAAGGGCCAUCGCUCAACGGAUAAAAGGUACUCCGGGGAUAACAGGCUGAUACCGCCCAAGAGUUCAUAUCGACGGCGGUGUUUGGCACCUCGAUGUCGGCUCAUCACAUCCUGGGGCUGAAGUAGGUCCCAAGGGUAUGGCUGUUCGCCAUUUAAAGUGGUACGCGAGCUGGGUUUAGAACGUCGUGAGACAGUUCGGUCCCUAUCUGCCGUGGGCGCUGGAGAAUUGAGGGGGCUGCUCCUAGUACGAGAGGACCGGAGUGGACGCAUCACUGGUGUUCGGGUUGUCAUGCCAAUGGCACUGCCCGGUAGCUAAAUGCGGAAGAGAUAAGUGCUGAAAGCAUCUAAGCACGAAACUUGCCCCGAGAUGAGUUCUCCCUGAGACUUUAAGUCUCCUGAAGGAACGUUAAAGACGAUGACGUUGAUAGGCCGGGUGUGUAAGCGCAGCGAUGCGUUGAGCUAACCGGUACUAAUGAACCGUGAGGCUUAACCUU